GCAGCAGCGAUGCCCACAGACGCCUUGCGGAGGCUUGUUGCUGGGGGAAAACGGUAGUUGCGGCAUUAACCGUCAGGGGUCUGCAACAGGUUCGACAAAAGAGGACCAGCCUGCAAGCCCGACUUUCACGGUUGGGUUGAGUCUCCCUACUCCGGCGCUUCCUUAGCGACGCUCCCUGACGCAAGGCCCGCCCACUGCACGCUUGUGCGCCGCCCACCACCUCCGCCCUCGUUUUCCACCGAGCAAGAUGGCUGAGGAGCCGGAGUCCGCGCUGCAGCUUUCUCCCUCGACUGCGGCUGAUGGCGAAGGACCUACGGAGGUUUCCCCAGAAACGGCCACUCCGGAGCCCCCCUCUUCCGCUGCAGUCUCGCCGGGAACAGAGGAGCCUGCCGGCGACACCAAAAAAAAAAUUGACAUCCUGCUAAAGGCUGUGGGAGACACCCCUAUAAUGAAAACAAAGAAGUGGGCUGUAGAGCGAACCCGAACCAUCCAAGGACUCAUUGACUUCAUCAAAAAGUUCCUAAAACUUGUGGCCUCAGAACAGUUGGAAAUUCACAUUAAAAUGCACACUGAUUUCUGUUUAUUUAUGUGAAUCAGUCCUUUGCCCCCUCCCCAGACCAGGAAGUUGGAACCCUCUAUGAGUGUUUUGGCAGUGAUGGUAAACUGGUCCUGCAUUACUGCAAAUCUCAGGCAUGGGGAUGAACUACAGAGAAAAUGAUCCUGCUAACUUAAAAUGAAUCGUCACAAGGGAACUGGGCUCUGGAAAGUGUUGAUAUUUGUGGCAAGAGACUUGUGGAUUUGAUGAACUCAGCAUGUAUCUACUAUGAGCUAUGUUUAUGUAUAAAAAAAUUCAUAGAGUAGAUGGACUCACAAAAAUGUGAUUUGUAUUAAUACAAAUCAUCAUAACCGAUCAACAUUAGAGUAUACCCAUUACUACAACCGUUGCUCCAGAUCUGCCUCCAGGGUAUUGAAAAGGAGAAUAAGACUGUGUAAAGCUUCCUUAUUAUCAGUUCUCAAAAUGAAAUUGUUUACUUAUAGAGUUAGCACUCUGCUGAUUUUUUCCUACUGUAAAAGUCAGUUUACUAAAAGAUUCUUUUUGUGUUUGUCCAGGGAACUUCAGUUUGUUUGAGGUAUGGGAUAUGCCUUUUCUCCUAUGCAUUUAUAUCUACAGUGUUACCUUGGGAAACAAAGCUGCAUUGACCUGCUUGCUUUACACCUUACGUAGUCCAGUAGAGGGCAGCGCAGCUGGCAGAAAGAGGCAGUCUGGUUUUACAUCUGGGCCAGAUGAUAAUGGAGGAAAAAAGCUGUUCCUGCUAAUUUCUAGGAAACGUCUAGCCAAGAGAGCACACAUGUUGACACACUGGAAGACUGCUUUAGAGAAAAAUGCAUGGUUUAGUUAUUUUAUUGGGAAACAGAAGGAAUUUUACAAAUUCUAGACAAGUGAUUCAUACAGCUCUUUGCAGUCCUAUCAUAUAAUGAUUCUUGAGCCCCAAUGGUUAUAACUAUGGUGUUAUUCUGUCUCUUAUUUUUAGUGUCAAAAGCACUUGAUGAGUAAACCUGGCAACAUCUUUCAGUUUUUUAUAAUGCAUUUUCCAACUUGAAAAUGCUAAAAGAAUAAUUGAAAAAUAGCCUUAGAUUUUGUGUGUAUUUCACUAAAAGUACCAUUUUUACUAAUACUGUUAGACUGGUAAUUGCCUGAAGUGACAUUUAUCUUUGUUUCUUUAUUCUAUAUUAUAUUUGUAAUGCAGCAUUAAAAAAAAAAAUUCCAGUAAAUUGAAUGGAAUAUCCAAACAGGAUCUGAGAUGUGUAUGAGAAUUCUAAGUGUUUAUCUUCAAAGGUAGUGAGAUGGUAUGAUUUUGUCAAAGGACUCUGAACUACACUUAUGUCCCUUAAACCCCGGAAUGUACUUUAUGGUUAAUGAUCUGCCAUACAUUAGCUUCAGGGGGUGCUAAGGAACAAUUUGGUUUACAGUGAUGAAUUCACUGUUCAGUUCUCAUUUUCUGCUCAAGAAUGAAUUAUUAAGUCCCCUUGUACCAAUGUCCCUGUUUAUUAAAUUAAUACAGCUAGUAGUUAGCACUGGAAUAAUACAGGUUGAAUUGUCAAAUUUAUCUUGUAAGACUAGGUAAGAAAUUAGUAUAUAUGUUGAAAGCUGGAAAGUAUUAUUUUUGAGUCAAAUAAGUUGGAUUUGGAAAAGAUCUGUUUUUUAGCUUCGUCUACUUACAGUUUACUGAAGGAUAUGAAUAUAUGCAUAUAUAUUUAACAAAUAGCAGAAAUGUGUUUAAUUUAUAUAUUGUGUUUGCCACUAAGGUUUCAGAUGAUAAAAUAUUUACUACCUCAAUCCAAA